CUCCUCCCUUCUGGCUAUGACGCUGACGGGAGCGCUACAAACUGCAGGGUGUCCCGGGAGGUGAUGCGAUCCGUUUGUGGGUGUGAUAUCCUAGGGAUGAGCUGCUGCAGCACAACAUAGAGACAGAGGGUGGUUGGUAGGGGAAGGGGGCAACCUGGCGAGGGCUGCAAAUACAUCUGCUUGCUGCCCUUACAGCGCCCGGCGCCCAGAGGAAGAGACAGCCUUGAAACAGCAAGGAUACAUUUGGUAACAUUGAGAAACAAUUAAACCACAACCAUUGUUUCCAUUGGCCCCGCUAACAGCUGAUCAGCGGUGACAAACUCAGCUGUAAUCGCACACCCCAAGAAAAGACAGGACUGAGCGUUAAACCUAAGACAAGGCUGUUAAAGCCGAGGAGCUGUGGAUUGGAAAGGAGAAUACCGAGGAAAGGAGUGGGUGUAAGAUUCCGAAUCCAACAUGGGCCACCCUCCGCUGGAGUUCAGUGAUUGCUCCCUGGACAGUCCGGAUUUCAGGGAGCGGCUCAAAUCUUACGAGCAGGAGCUGGAGAGGACGAACAAAUUCAUCAAGGAAGUCAUCAGGGAUGGCACCUCGCUCAUCAACGCCAUCAAAAAUUACUCUUCAGCUGUGGUGAAGUUUUCACAGAGCCUGAAUGUAUUUCAGUUUGAAUUCAUUGGAGAUACAUUGACUGACGAUGAAAUCAACAUUGCUGAAUCUUUCAAGGAAUUUGCAGGGUUGCUGCAGGAAGUAGAAGAUGAGAGGGUGAUGAUGAUUCAAAAUUCCAGUAGCAUGCUCAUUAAACCCUUGGAAGUUUUUAAGAAAGAUCACAUUGGAGUUGCAAAGGAAAAAAAGAAAAAAUUUGAAAAAGAAAGUGAGAAGUUCUACUCUGCACUUGACCGACACCUGGGUCUUUCCUCAAAGAAGAAGGAAUCCCAGCUUCUGGAGGCGGAUGUGCAGGUUGAUAAAGAGAGGCAGAACUUCUACGAGGCGUCUCUGGAGUACGUGUACAAAAUUCAGGAGGUUCAUGAGAGGAAGAAGUUUGAAGUGGUUGAGCCAGUGUUGGCGUUCCUACAUGGGCUGCUCACAUUCCAUCAUCUGACCUUUGAACUGACUCAGGAUUUCAUGCCUUAUAAACAGCAGCUUCAAUUAAGCUUGCAACACACGAGGAACCACUUCAUGGGCACUCGAGAGGAGAUGGAGGACCUCAUGAAAAGAAUGAAAGAGGCUCCGCAAAAUUGCAAGCUCCCGGGUCAGCCCACCAUUGAAGGCUACCUCUACUCUCAGGAGAAACGGCCUCUGGGAUUCUCCUGGGUGAAAAACUACUGCAAAUAUGUGAAAGACACCAAAAUUCUAACCAUGAUCCCGUGUGAUCCGAAACCUGGGGCGAAGCAGGAAUUUAAGCUGAAAUCCUGCGUUAGGAGGAAAUCUGAAUCCAUCGACAAGCGAUUCUGCUUUGAUAUAGAGAUGUUUGAAAGGCAAGGCCCUGUCACACUCCAAGCUCUCUCCGAAGCCAACCGAAGUUUGUGGAUUGAAGCGAUGGAUGGCAAAGAGCCAAUCUACAUCACACCCAAUGCGAAACCAGAGCAAAUGCAACUGAAUGAUCUGGGCUUAAAGUUUGUGAAGAAAUGUAUUAAUGCGGUGGAGACCAAAGGAAUCACCGCAGAGGGGGUUUACAGAACUGUUGGCAGCAACCUCCAAGUACAGAAGCUACUAACUCAGUAUUUUGAUCCAAAUCAUCCUGGUGAUGUUGAUCUCCAGAGCUCUGAGUGGGAAAUAAAAACAAUCACCAGUGCACUGAAGCACUACCUCAGGAAUCUUGAAGAGCCAGUGAUGACUUACAAGCUCCAUAGAGAACUUGUCUCUGCCUCCAAAUCUGACAACCUGGAUUACAGACUUGGUGCCAUUCACUCCUUGGUGUAUAAACUACCAGAGAAAAACCGGGAAAUGCUGGAACUUAUAAUUAAACAUCUCAUGAAUGUUUGUAGCCAGAAUAAGAAGAACUUGAUGACUGCUUUCAACAUGGGGGUGAUCUUUGGACCGACAUUAAUGAGAGCACAAGAAGAUACAGUUGCGGCCAUGAUAAACAUCAAGUUUCAGAACAUUGUUGUGGAAAUCUUGAUUGAGCAUUAUGAAAAGAUUUUUAAGUUCCCACCAGAGGAGAAUGCGGCUCCCCCAGUACCACCCCCCAGAGCCGCACCCAGGAAGCGGCAGCCAAUCACAAUCUCCAAACGUGCUGCCCGCCCUCGGACUAACCUCGACUCUUCCUCUUUCAAGGAUAUGGAAGACUAUGUGGAAGAAGAAAACGAUGAUGGCAGUGGCACCAAUAGUCCAGAUACGGGUGGCGUGACCUCCCAAUCAAGCCCUAUACCUCUGCAGCGAAAUACUAGACCAAGUUUGGGCAGCCAGAAGGUGGCAGAAACCGAAUCUCCUCUUCGGCAGGCCACAGGUAACCAGAAUUGGCGGCCAUUCUCGGAGGCGGAAGUAGGGAAACCCGCACUGAAAAUGAAAGAUGGAGGUUUGAAGCCAGCUCCGAAGUCUGUAAAUGGGGUGCCACAAACUGAUCAGACCGCUGCCAAUGUCUCUCGAGUAUCAUCCUUUCGCACAAAGCUUUCCACCAAGAUGUUUUACACUGAAGAUGGUGAUUAUAGUAAUGUUAAUGUACAGCGAGCUCACCAGGAGAAGACUUCCUCUGGCCUGCAGCGACCUCCCAUGAGACCACCAGAUCCUCCGUGUCGAGAUAAAGUUGCUCCACUGCUGAAAGCAGAGCAGUCCACUAGCACGGAAGAUACUUCAUCUUCUGUGGUUGCUUCCAGAGCCAAGUUUUUCGAAAAUGCUGCUAGAAAAACAGGCGGUGUGAAUGCUUCUCCACCACGAUCUGCCCCUGUAGCACACACCAUUACUGCAAAAGAUGAGAGCCCAAGCAACAUGCACUCAUUCAGUCGAUCAUAGCCAUGGUUUCUCACUUCUAUAGAGAUAAUGUUUUGUUGCAGCGGUGGACCAAGGAUGAAUGAGGAAAAGUUUACACAUAGACUGGUGAAUCUCUGAUGAGUGCAAGACUAUGAUCACAGUACUCUCUCAAAUUGUUAACAGAAUUCUUGAGGAAAACCUGGCUGGUUUCAGGGAAGCUUGCUGCAUCAGAACUGGAACAAAUACUUCUGUGAAUUAACUUGCACUUAUCAAGAUCUCAUUGAGAGCACCAAAGAUUCUCCAGAUUAUCCAAAUGGAUUCUAACUAGGGAAUUUUCCAUUCCAACAACGUCUGGAGCUGUGUAUUAGAUGACUGCCAAUGGGUCGUCGUAGUGGUCUUGGGCUUAUUUUUCUUGAAUUUUUAAAAUCGGUUCUGGUGUCUUUUAUUAUGUACCUAUUUGUUGGAACAAAAAAGUAACUCCAGUUUGUGUGAGGGCAGCUACAUAUUUUAAAACUUUUAAAAUACUGCUGGAAAUCUGCACAAGCUUCAUUAAAUGUGCAAUGUACUUUACAACAAAAGAACACACACAGCUUGUGGACUAGCUCGUGGAAGAUUUUGCUUGACUAUCACUCUAAGUAGGUUAAAUGUUUAAAAAAAAGGUGGCUGGUCCAUACAUUUUAGAAAAUGUGUAAAUUGUGAUUCAACAUGCAAAAUGUAAAAGGUUGAUGGUAUUAUCAGUGAAAGUAGCUUAUACUCUGAGGGCUGGGUAGGUGGCAAGAGAUUCUUUUUGGAACAAAACCUUGUUUUUGUUUGGAAUAUGUGCUCUGUGACACAAGUUGCUGGAGAAAUUUACUGUGAUGUGCUGCCCUGGUUGUAAACUGGGACAUGGUGACAUUGGAAUCCCACUUUUGGGAGCUGUUUCCCAGCUCCUCCCCACAUUUUGAUUGAUAGAAUGAUUUACAUUAUAAUUGAGAGGAAAUAAACACAGAAAUGGACAAAAAAAAUUCAACACACAAAUAGCUAUGGACAACAAGCCCAUCCAUUAUACGUUAAUAACAUUAAUCCCUUUAAUAACGACUUUAUUUUGGAAAGAUUAAAAUAUUUCUAUUGAAAUUAGGAUUGAGGGAAUGUGAUACAGUGGGGCAAACACUGUACUUUCACCUCAUUCUUUGGUUUGGAUCUAGUCCCUAUUAACGGAAUGAAUGGCUAUAUCGCAAAGGGUUCCAGGAAGUGGGAGCCUCAGCAAUACUUGAGAAUUAGUUUUUCAUCUUGACACCAACUACCAAUGCAGUCGAAAUGAUUUGAAAAUGGCAAUGUAGUUGUAUGGCAAUGUAGUUAUAAUCUUCAAAGUCUGAAGAAGAGACGUGGUUUGGGGAGAUCAAAGGAGCUUUUUAACUGUGUAAACAUCUGAGCUUUGUCCAACAUCAGAGUGCUUAUUGGGGAUCAGCAUUGGGAAGAUGUUCCAUUCUCCACCCUGGUUAACAUCCACCUGGCUUCAUGUAACACCCUGGCAGAUGGUUUUUGAAAAUGGAAUUUCAGAAGGAAGAUUCCAAUUGGUGACUGUAAUUAAAGGCAGCUGUUAUAUAGAGUUUCCUUGUUUAGAAAUUGGUAGCAUUUCAACGAACAUAAUGAGUGCAAAUUACUGAUUUCCAAGAGAUAACUGGACUGUGAAUCUUAGUUCAUUUGUACAUUAAUGUAUGAUUAAAUUAUGAGGCAUUUAACAUUCCUGGUAAAAUAGGCACACAUGUUGCUCCUUUACUAAUUUAAGAUUACUGAUAAAUCAUUUUCAUUUCGCACUCCAUAUUUGAAAAUGUUUUAUUUUUGUGUAAGUGAAGUCCCAUGGGCUUAAUUCAAGUUUCCAAAUGAAGAAGACUAGCUGUUCCUGUUUAGUCAUUGAACCACUGAGUUAAGAAGUGGGAGUGAACUGAAAAUUGAGUGACCGCAUAGUGGUCUUUGGUAAAACAGCUCUGCAGUUGCAGAAUGAGGUACCUAAUGAGUGAGAAUUUUUAUUGGAAGGCCACGUUUAUACUCAAUAAGGUAUACAGUCAGUGGCAUCAAGGCAGAUUGAAAGGCUGAGAAUUUGAGAUUUGUGUGGCUUGAAUCCAAAUAUUUUCUGAAGCUUAAUAUUUAAUGGCGGGACCCAAACUGAUACUGCACAUAGAAUGGUUUGUAAUGCUUUUUCCUCACAGUCAUAUGCGAUGUUGUGAAAGCCACUAAAUUGUACUCUUGAAAUGAAAUGAUUAACAAGUUCUGAGGAUGCCCUUGUUCUUCAUGUUAUGAGGAGCAAUCCUAGCAGUCCUAGUACUGCUGAUGGAGAAUGUCACAGCCCCUGUCAUUCACAUCUAUUGAAUAAUCACUUGAAUUAUUUCUUUUUCUGGGAGGGUAGAUAAUGAAUUAAUAUUUUAGCUGAGCACAAUUUUUAAUUGCUGUUUUGUCUUCUAAAGUGUGCAUCAAAAGUUGUAACAAUCAUCGGUGAGACACAUGUUUUUUAUUUCCUUUGUUGUUUUCAAAUCUUGGUAUUCUGCAGAGGAAACUUGCAAAUGGGAUUAACGUGGAAGCAUUACUUCAAACCUACUCUUCAAGUCAAUAAAAUAAAUAUUUGCCUUUGCCUCAA